GGACUUUAUUUGCGCAGCAUAGGUGGGAGGCAUUGAGUUUAUUCUUGCGGGAAUUUAGGAGCCAUCAGUGAGAUACCACUCUGGUAAUGUUAGAUUUCUAACUUUGUAUCAUGAUCUGGUCAAAGAACAGUUUCAGGCGGGCAGUUUGACUGGGGCGGUCGCCUCCCAAAUGGUAACGGAGGCGUACAAAGGUUUCCUCUGAACGUGUAGAAAUCGUAUCUAGAGUGUAAAGGCAUAAGGAAGCUUGACUGUGAGACCUACAAGUCGAGCAGGGACGAAAGUCGGUCUUAGUGAUCUGACGGUGCUGAGUGGAAAGGCCGUCACUCAACGGAUAAAAGUUACUCUAGGGAUAACAGGCUGAA
rnacentral:rRNA from 1 species